CUCCCACGCCCUCCGUCGGGUAACCCUCCCACGCUCUCCGUCGGGUAACCCUCCCACGCUCUCCGUCGGGUCACCCUCCCACACCGCCUCCGCCGGUUAACCCUCCCACGCUCUCCGUCGGGUAACCCUCCCACGCUCUCCGUCGGGUAACCCUCCCACGCUCUCCGUCGGGUCACCCUCCCACACCGCCUCCGCCGGUUAACCCUCCCACGCUCUCCGUCGGGUAACCCUCCCACGCUCUCCGUCGGGUCACCCUCCCACGCUCUCCGCCGGUUAACCCUCCCACGCUCUCCGCCGGUUAACCCUCCCACGCUCUCCGUCGGGUAACCCUCCCACGCUCUCCGUCGGGUAACUCUCCCACGCUCUCCGUCGGGUAACCCUCCCACGCUCUCCGUCGGGUCACCCUCCCACGCUCUCCAUCAGGUAACCCUCCAUCAGGUAACCCUCCCACGCUCUCCGUCGGGUAACCCUCCCACGCCUCCAUCAGGUAACCCUCCCACGCCUCCAUCAGGUAACCCUCCCACGCCUCCAUCAGGUAACCCUCCCGCGCCGCCUCCGUCGGGUAACCCUCCCACGCCGCCUCCAUCAGGUAACCCUCCCACGCCGCCUCCAUCAGGUAACCCUCCCACGCGCCUCCGUCGGGUAACCCUCCCACGCUCUCCAUCAGGUAACCCUCCCACGCUCUCCGUCGGGUAACCCUCCCACGCUCUCCAUCAGGUAACCCUCCCACGCGCCUCCGUCGGGUAACCCUCCCACGCUCUCCAUCAGGUAACCCUCCCACGCCUCCAUCAGGUAACCCUCCCACGCCUCCAUCAGGUAACCCUCCCGCGCCGCCUCCGUCGGGUAACCCUCCCACGCUCUCCGUCGGGUAACCCUCCCACGCCUCCAUCAGGUAACCCUCCCACGCCUCCAUCAGGUAACCCUCCCACGCCUCCAUCAGGUAACCCUCCCGCGCCGCCUCCGUCGGGUAACCCUCCCACGCCGCCUCCAUCAGGUAACCCUCCCACGCCGCCUCCAUCAGGUAACCCUCCCACGCGCCUCCGUCGGGUAACCCUCCCACGCUCUCCAUCAGGUAACCCUCCCACGCUCUCCGUCGGGUAACCCUCCCACGCUCUCCAUCAGGUAACCCUCCCACGCGCCUCCGUCGGGUAACCCUCCCACGCUCUCCAUCAGGUAACCCUCCCACGCCUCCAUCAGGUAACCCUCCCACGCCUCCAUCAGGUAACCCUCCCACGCUCUCCAUCAGGUAACCCUCCCACGCUCUCCGUCGGGUAACCCUCCCACGCUCUCCGUCGGGUAACCCUCCCACACCGCCUCCGUCGGGUAACCCUCCCACGCCGCCUCCGUCAGGUAACCCUCCCACGCCGCCUCCAUCAGGUAACCCUCCCACGCUCUCCGUCGGGUAACCCUCCCACGCGCCUCCGUCGGGUAACCCUCCCACGCUCUCCGUCGGGUAACCCUCCCACGCUCUCCGUCGGGUAACCCUCCCACGCUCUCCGUCGGGUAACCCUCCCGCGCCGCCUCCGUCGUGUAACCCUCCCACGCGCCUCCGUCGGGUAACCCUCCCGCGCCGCCUCCGUCGGGUAACCCUCCCACGCUCUCCGUCGGGUAACCCUCCCACGCUCUCCGUCGGGUAACCCUCCCACGCCGCCUCCAUCAGGUAACCCUCCCACGCUCUCCAUCAGGUAACCCUCCCACGCUCUCCGUCGGGUAACCCUCCCACGCUCUCCGUCGGGUAACCCUCCCACACCGCCUCCGUCGGGUAACCCUCCCACGCCGCCUCCGUCAGGUAACCCUCCCACGCCGCCUCCAUCAG